AAAAAAGAAUAUUCGUGUAUUACCAAAACCAUUGGAGAAACCUGCAGCAGAAAGGAUAAAGAGAAUAGUUGGCUUUGAAGGUACAAAGAAAGAAC